GGGGGGUUCACACCCCCGUGCACUCAGACAAAGUGCUCUGGGAUUUGCUGAGCUGGUUUGUACUCCUUAAGAGCUCCAGUGUGACCCCAGUUCUGCAGGAUGAGGCCAGUCACACAAAACCCCAACUUCAAGGACAUCAAUCCUGCCCAGCUUAUGUAAGGGCCCUUUCCUGCUUUCCAGAUCCUUUGCCUCACCAUAUGCUGUGAAAUAGGAUUAACCCUAAGGAAGGAAACACAGCAAUUUCCGGCCUGAAAAGCCAUUCUGAUGAAACUGUCCACGAGCAGAGAUUUACACAAUUUACAUCAAAAAGGAUAAAAAUAUCAGCUGCUAUCUCUGCAUUGAUUGCUCUGGAUCAAAUAGAAGGAUGUUUGAGAAAUGCUCAGCAGCGCAAACUACGAAAAGUCAAAUUCUAAUCAAACAUCUUGUUGACUCGGCACUGGAGUGUGUGUGUGAGGAGGUUCAGCUGCAGAAGAUAGGAAUGUAGUGCCUGACUUCUGUUCAGAUGGGAAUCA